GACGAACGCUGGCGGCGUGCUUAACACAUGCAAGUCGAACGGAGUGGCGAACGGGUUAGUAACGCGUAAUCAACCUGCCCUUCGGAGGGGGACCACAGUUGGAAACGACUGCUAAUACCGCAUAAUGAAGGAGUGGAUUGCGUGUGAUUAGGUAGUUGGGGGGGUAACGGCCCACCAAGGCGAUGAUCAGUAGCCGGUCUGAGAGGAUGAACGGCCACAUUGGGACUGAGACACGGCCCAGACUCCUACGGGAGGCAGCAGUGGGGAAUCUUCCGCAAUGGACGAAAGUCUGACGGAGCAACGCCGCGUGAGUGAUGACGGCCUUCGGGUUGUAAAGCUCUGUUAAUCGGGACGCGGUACCGGAAUAGAAAGCCACGGCUAACUACGUGCCAGCAGCCGCGGUAAUUC
rnacentral:rRNA from 1 species